UGGGACCUACGGGAGGCAGCAGUGAGGAAUAUUGGUCAAUGGACGAGAGUCUGAACCAGCUAUGCCGCGUGAAGGAUGACUGCCCUAUGGGUUGUAAACUUCUUUUAUAAAGGAAUAAAACGAGGCACGUGUGCCUUUUUGCAUGUACUUUAUGAGUAAGGAUCGGCUAACUCCGUGCCAGCAGCCGCGGUAAUACGGAGGAUCCGAGCGUUAUCCGGAUUUAUUGGGUUUAAAGGGAGCGUAGAUGGGUGGUUAAGUAAGUUGUGAAAGUGUGCGGCUCAACCGUAAAAUUGCAAUUGAUACUG
rnacentral:rRNA from 1 species